GAUGAACGCUAGCUACAGGCUUAACACAUGCAAGUCGAGCGACCGGCACACGGGAGAGUAACACGUAACCAUGCCGCCUUUUACUCGGGGAUAGCCUUUCGAAAGAACUAUUAAUACCUGAUAUAAAGGAUGGGGAUGCGUUCCAUUAGGUUGUUGGUGAGGUAACGGCCACCCAAGCGUUCGAUGGAUAGGGGUUCUGAGAGGAAGGUCCCCCACAUUGGAACUGAGACACGGACCAAACUCCGACGGGAGGCAGCAGUGAGGUAUAUUAGUCAAUAAGCGCUAGCCUGAACCAGCCAAGUAGCGUAAAGGAGCAAGGCUUAUGAGUCGUAAACUUCUUUUAUAGAAGAAUAGGUAUUAGAUGAAUAAGGAUCGGCUAACUCCGUGCCAGCAGCCGCGGUAAUAC
rnacentral:rRNA from 1 species